AUCCAGUUGACGAGUCUCAAAUAGGACGAAACGCGAGUUAAACUAGAU
rfam:Schistosoma margrebowiei strain Zambia genome assembly, scaffold: SMRZ_contig0005465